AUGUCUGGAGCGCGAGUUGCACAUUAUUCAACAGCGCCCCCUCGGGUCACACUUUUCGGUGGGUCGCAGAAUUCGGCGUAACAACGGGACUCACUGCACGAAGAUGUGACACGUUCGGCUCAGCUGCACUUGGAGGUUAUGGGGAAGAGCAUAUUUGUGGCUGAUCUCAAUGCUGUUCCGACUUGGCGAUAUCCAACAGCAUGUGACCCACUUUCAAGUUUACCUGAUGAUGUUUACUUCAGAGACGCUGUUGUAAUUCCUGUUUGGAAACCUGGACAUUUCUUGUUAUCUAAACCUUUGUCAGUCUCUCAGCCCUGGGCCAUGGAAAGAGACGACUGGUUUGGACAUCGAGGGCUUUCCACGGCAAAAGUAUGGCAUCGACUGUGGCAUCUCCAUGUUGAUGUAUGCCCUUUACAAAGUCAUGGAUGCACCCUUUGACUUCACUGUUACUGAUAUGCCAUCGUUGAGAAAAUGGUGGUGUAUCAUGCUGAUUGAAAAUCUUGACCUUGGAAGCCAUGGCAAACUCUUUGCCCACUGGACUGACACAUCUAAGGCUCUUCUUCGGGGUGAGGUGCCACCAGUUUUUAAACUGAAGAAGAGAAGGCGAGAUGACAUUCAUGAGGGGCCACUUGACAACAUUGUAGCUGGAGUUGCCUGGCUGCGUCAGAAUGCAGGUUUGCUCAGGGGGAAGGUGGUUGAGCCCGCAUUUCCGAAUAUCGACGCAAAAGAACAGCAGGAGCUCCUGAAAAGGAUCCGUUCUUCAACUGAUGAAGAAGAAAAGCAUCCCCUGCUCUUCACAUUUGAUUUUCAGGAAGACAUGGAGGUCUUCCUUAACAUGGCAGCUGAGGAGGAUCUUCGGGUCAACGCCAUGUUUCUGGGUCGCUGGGUGGACAGCCAGUGACAUUGCUGUGUGUGUGUGUGUGUGUGUGUGUGUGUGUGUGUGUGUGUG